rnacentral:tRNA from 1 species
GUGUAGCUCAGUGGUAGAGUGCUUGCCUGGCAUGUGGGAGGCCAUGGGUUCAAUCCCCACUAC